GUAGGUGGCAAGCGUUGUCCGGAAUUAUUGGGCGUAAAGCGCGCGCAGGCGGUUCUUUAAGUCUGAUGUGAAAGCCCACGGCUCAACCGUGGAGGGUCAUUGGAAACUGGAGAACUUGAGUACAGAAGAGGAAAGCGGAAUUCCACGUGUAGCGGUGAAAUGCGUAGAGAUGUGGAGGAACACCAGUGGCGAAGGCGGCUUUCUGGUCUGUAACUGACGCUGAGGCGCGAAAGCGUGGGGAGCAAACAGGAUUAGAUACCCUGGUAGUCCACGCCGUAAACGAUGAGUGCUAAGUGUUACGGGGUUUCCGCCCCCCUUAGUGCUGCAGCUAACGCAUUAAGCACUCCGCCUGGGAGUACGACCGCAAGGUUG
rnacentral:rRNA from 1 species